UUGCAAGGCUCAACUUCCCUAACCUCCACCAUCAAGGGUCUCACAUUGAAGGUUGGCAAUAUAAAUGGCAAUUCUCCGUGCCUAUCAAAUUGCUUAAUUUCAUUUUGAUUAUGGCCUCGAAUAAGUUGCUACAAU